UUAAAAUAAUUUUUUAGCUAAUAGUUCAGCUAAAUUUUAAGCUAAUUAUAUUUCUGAUGUUCUGCCAGCCCAGGUUUAUGAGGUGUUUUAUAAAAGUCUGCAUCUCAUUGGUAUUCUCUGGUAAAAUAAUGAAGAAAUAGGUGUUAAAACCAUGAAUUGCUCCAAAAGCCAAAUAUGUCUGGGAAAGUGAAGAAUAAACCCAAAACCUCUUGACUUGCAUCAGUCUCCUUUGUUGUGUCAGCAAUGAAAGAGCACCAGUGAGAGAUGAAAAGGAUAUGUAGGCUUUACAUUUCUACGAGUGAAUUUGAACAGGAGUAGACAAAACUUACCUCGGGUGGCUUUCCUUGCAAACCUUGCAGUUGAAGUGAUGUCUCAGAUAUCCGUGGGCUCACCAAGACCAUGGAAUAAUCACAUCAUUGUGGUCCUGAAGGUCUUGCUAAGCCUGACCUGCAGUGCUCAAGAGCUGAUUGUGAGGAUACUCAGGCAGGAGAGAAUGGAUUUAUCUAUGCUUGGAUCAGAAUUAUGUGAUUCUUGGCAGACUUGAUUUCAACUAGAAGACAGGACUUGAUGUGAACUUCUUGACCUGUGAGAGGCACUUUGUGAAAGAGGGACUGCGAGAGAGUAUGCGAUGUGCAAAGCCUACGCAUUCAACUUCCACGCUCUGAGGGAGCACGAGGAGAAUUCUGAAUAGGCUACAUGAAGUAUGGGCUAAGAAGGAGGAAAAGUGCAGAACUUCCAGAUGGUAGUCCAUAAUCUUUAGUGACCUCAUGCACAAAAGUAUUCAUGAGGUUCUCCUUUUGUGCAGGCAAUAUUAUCAGGCCAAAUAUAAAAUACAGAAUUAAUCA